GAAAUAUAUGCCUUUACUCCAGAACUGAGCACAUCAGUUUGUACACCAUGGUGCUUCUUUUCACCACAGAACUUUUAUAAGAAGGAAAUCUGAGGUGAUUUUAUGUGCUAACACAAAGGCCACACUGGCUUCAUGGCUCGCAAGGGAUUCUGGUGGGGGGCAGGAGUCACUUUAUGACCCUUGUUGAGGAGAAAAUAUGGGAUAUAUGUCACACACAUUCAAGCAGUUCGAAAGACCAGCACCAAAAUGUGAACUUUUCUAGACAUAAGCCACAUGGUUUGCCACAAAUGAGCGUAAAUGCAGGCGAUAAUGAUGUCUUUCUCAAGCCCACAGGUGACCAAGUCCUAAACACAUUCAUAGAUGGAGAGAAAUUUAGCCAGGAGGAGGGGAAAUUUCUGAGGUAAAACUGUGCUUCUAGUUCUUCUUAUCAGUAGCGGUUUCAAAACAGUCGGAAGAAAAGCCCUUCCCUUCUAGAAUCCUCAAAAACUCAAUCACCAACUUCUGACUAGCAGUGCAAACCUGCAUGUGUUUACUCAGAUUUAAGUCUUGCUUAAUUCAAUUAUUUCUCUUUUACCCUUUCUUCUGCUGCCCUGAUUUAGAUUGUAAGCUGCUUGCUGACAGGGACCUACCCGUC